rnacentral:rRNA from 1 species
GAGUGCGAUCAUACCAGCUCUAAUGCACCGGAUCGAAUCACAACUCCGCAGUUAAGUGUGCUUGGAGGAGAGUAGUACAAGGAGUCCUCGUGUUGCACCUC